rnacentral:rRNA from 1 species
GAUGAACGCUAGCGACAGGCCUAACACAUGCAAGUCGAGGGGCAGCACAAGGAGCAAUCUGAGGUGGCGACCGGCGCACGGGUGAGUAACACGUAUGCAACCUACCUGUAAGAGGGGGAUAACCCGUUGAAAGACGGACUAAUACCGCAUAAUACUGAAUAACCGCAUGGUUAAUCAGUUAAACAUUUAUGGCUUACAGAUGGGCAUGCGCAUGAUUAGCUAGUUGGUGAGGUAACGGCUCACCAAGGCAACGAUCAUUAGGGGUUCUGAGAGGAAGGUCCCCCACACUGGUACUGAGACACGGACCAGACUCCUACGGGAGGCAGCAGUGAGGAAUAUUGGUCAAUGGGCGAGAGCCUGAACCAGCCAACGUCGCGUGAAGGAUGAAGGUUUUAUGAAUUGUAAACUUCUUUUGCAGGGGAAUAAAGUGCGGUACGUGUUACCGUUUUGUAUGUACUCUGCGAAUAAGGAUCGGCUAACGUCCGUGCCAGCAGCCG